UACGGAGGGGGCAAGCGUUAUUCGGAAUCAUUGGGCGUAAAGGGCGCGUAGGCGGCUUGGCAAGUCAAAGGUGAAAUCCCUCGGCCUAACCGAGGAACUGCCUUUGAAACUGCUUGGCUUGAGUACGGGAGAGGGGUGUGGAAUUCCCAGUGUAGAAGUGAAAUCCGUAGAUAUUAGGAGGAACACCGGUGGCGAAGGCGGCUACCUGGACCGAUAUUGACGCUGAGACGCGAAAGCGUGGGGAGCAAACAGG
rnacentral:rRNA from 1 species